UAUGCCGGGAUUGUCACCCUGUCUUCCACCAGCCUGCGGGUGGGAGGCUGGUGGUAGAGGUGGUGCUGCAACCUUGGGGGUGCAGAGAGUGAGUCGGGUGCGACCCCAUGCCUUUACUCUCACCCUCCCAAAACUCAGGCGAGUCUGGAAGCUUCCCCAAGCAGCUUCUUCAUAUGCCCAGAUCCGCUGUGCCUGGACUUCUGACCUGCUCCAGUAAGAUGGAGUCAGUAUCCUACGAGGACGUGGCCAUGAAAUUCACACAGGCCGAGUGGGCUUUGCUGGAUCCUGCCCAGAGGUGCCUGUACAGAGAAGUGAUGCUGGAGGUCUGCAGGCACCUGGCCUACGUGGAGGGUUUCGCUCGUGGGAAAGCCAGUGGUGCUCUUGGAGGUGUCUUGGAGAAUACGUUAUUCAGUGAAGACAGUACCAUGGGGUUCAUGAGCAAUGAUUCCUGCGAUGGUUUUGGAGAGAAGCGGAUGUGCCCUGACGCUGGUGACCAGCAGCAAAUGCAGAACAGACGACAGAAACUCCCCUUGCUGGACAGUCUCGGAGACGGUCACGAAGCUCCUGCGGGAGCCAGAGGAACCCCAAGGCGGACUCGAAGCCUCCCUACGCCCCAAAGUCCUGUUGCUGCCACUUCUGCAGAAUGUUCUUCCCCCGAUCCCCCCCCAGCACCUCCCCACGGCUCUCCUUCAGGUGAACAGGCUCAGGCGGACAUCGGCGGCCCGGCCGCUCAGGGGACCCCCUCUCCUAACCCCGGUGCUGUUAGGCGACACACUCGGAGGGUCGCUGGCACCCAGAGCCAGCCACCAUCCCACGAAUGCAAAGUGUGUGGGGAGACCUUCAGUGUCGCCAGCCUGCUGACACGUCACAUCAGGGAGCACCACGGGAAGACACCGUACGUGUGUGAGCUCUGCGGGAAGGGCUUCCGCUUCCCCUCGAAUCUGCAGGCUCAUGCCAAGACGCACACUGACCCCGAGAAGCCCUUUCAGUGCCCCGAUUGCCCCCAGACGUUCAGGUACGCCUAUAAGCUGCGUGCCCACGCUCAGGUGCAUUCGGGUGCCAGGCUGUUCACCUGUCAGCAGUGUGGGAAAAACUUCAGUUGUGACUCCAAGCUGCGUCGGCACAGCCGGACCCACACCGGGGAGAAGCCGUACGACUGCCCCGAGUGCGGGAAGGCGUUCCGGCAGAGCCACUCGCUGGUACUGCACCAGCGUGUCCACACGGGCGAGCGACCCUACACGUGCCCACAGUGCGGGAAAGGUUUCCGCUACCUGCCCACCCUAAAGGCCCACCGGGUGAUCCACACAACCCAGAGUCCCUUCCAGUGCCCCGAGUGCGGCAAGGCCUACCGCUACCGCUCCUACCUCUACGUCCACCUGCAGAUGCACCAGGCAACCCAGCCCCUCACCUGCGAGGAGUGUGGCACAGUCUUCAGCCACCCCAGGUACUUCCGCCGGCACGUCAAGAGGCACCGCGAGGAGCAGCCUUUCGUGUGCCACUGCAGACGGGCAUUUGGUUGUUCUUCAGCCCUGCGCCAACACGUCUGCCGGACCCACACCAAGGAGAAGCGCUGAGCCCAUCUCCCAUCCUAUACCAGGGAUGUCUCCCUGUCUCCCACCAGCCUGUGGGGAAAGAACCACCUGGGUGCGGAGAGAGCGUGGGCUGCAACCCCCGUGCCUCAAUUUCUCUCAUUCCACCCCCCACCACCACCAAAACAAACUCAGGUGAGUCUGGAAGCUUCUCCAAGCAGCUUCUUCAUAUCUCCUAAGACCCUCUGUGCCCUGACUUCUGACCUGCUCAGAAAGAUGGAGUUGGUAUCCUUUAAGGACGUGGCCGUGAACUUCACUCGGGCCGAGUGGGCUUUGCUGGAUCCUGCCCAGAGACGCCUGUACAGAGACGUGAUGCUGGAGGCCUGCGGGCACCUGGCCUUCGUGGAGGGUUUCUCUGAACAAAAAGCGAGUGGUGCUCUUGGACGUAUCUUGGAGAAUACGUUGUUCGGCGAAGACAGCACUGUGAGAUUCAUAAGCAGUGAAUCCUGGAAUAGAUUGGGAGAGAAGCGAAUGUUCCCUGACAGAGGCGACCAGCAGCCAAUGCAGAAGCGGCUACAGAACCCCUGUGGGAAACACCAGGAUGUGUUUGGAAUGCAAUGGUCGGGGGCAAGUGCUGGGAGCCACGAACCACGACAGCACUGAGAAGAAAAUCUCCCUCCCUCGGGCACUAGAGAGACCCCUUUAUGGCUGAUAGGAAUGUUGAACAAUGCUGCCCAACCCCCAUUCCUCAUAGCCCUGGAAACUGAGUAAACCUCUUCCAAGUUUUCCUGGAUGUUGGUUAAUUCAGGUGAGUGUUGCAGUGAAAAUGAUGGCCAUGUUGAGUUACAUAUAGAUUUGGUCAAGAAAAUGUGGGUGACUCCUCCCUAGGUGAAUGGUUCCUUGUUUGUAGUCAAGAAUAUCAUUACCCACUGGUGGAGUAAUAGUACAGCGGGGAAAGCACUUGCCUUAUACGGCCAACUAUGCUGGAUGCAUGCAAGGCAAGUGCCUACCCAUUAUAUUACCACUCUAUCACUCUCAAAAUCUUCUCUUUAAAUUAAAUCACUGUGAGAUACAGUUACAAAGUUGUUCAUGAUUGGAUUUCAACACCCAUCCGCUCAUCAGUGUACAUUUCCCACCAACAAUGUCCCCAGUUACCCUCCCUCCACCCCUCACCUCUUAACUCUUUUUUUUUUUUUUGGCUUUUUGGGUUACACCCAGCGAUGCACAGGGGUUACUCUUCCAGGUGUGAUUCUUGAAGGCAGAGUCAGGAAUAAACCUUCAGCAUUGCUGGGUGUGGCCCCAAAACAAAAAAGCGUGCGCGCGCGCGCGCGCACACACACACACACACACACACACGGAGAAAAUAAUAGCUAAGAACUUCUCCAAGCUAAGACAGGAGUUGGACACCCAGAACCAAGAGGUUCAAAGAGCUCCAAAGAGAAGAGCCCCAAUCAGACCCACUAAGAAAUACUAGCAUACAAUGGCCAAAAGCAAAGCUGAAGAGAAAAGCCUAAAAGCAGUAAGAGAAAAGUAUUCUUUGCUUAAGAGAACCCCCAUGAGACUGUCAACAGAGUUCUCACAAAACUAUAGAUCAGAAGGCAGGGUGGUGGGGGAAGUGUGAUAUAAAAAAGUGCUACAAGCAGAGUACUUCCUACCAAGAAUACUCUACCCAGUUCACUUAGAAUGCACAACUGAAUGAGGGGUAAAGAGUUUUUCAGUCAAAUAACAGUUCUGAGGAUUUAUGACCACCAAACUAGCCCUCCAGGUUACCUUGAGGGACUUCUAGGGAAAGAAAAGUGGUGAACACAUUGGUAUAGGAACCGAGCAAACCCCAUCGUAAUGUUUCACCACUGUGCAAACUUGAAUGAGCUCUCAGAUGAUCACAGGGAAAGAUUCUUGGCUUCAGUUCUCUCUGGCUCUUCAAUACAGGCUCAUCUGGGUGUUUGGAUGCACCUAGAAGGGAAUGUUGAGCAGACGGUCUUCAUGGGCAGGGUUAGAAGGUGAAGGAUGGAGCCAACAUCAUAUUCCCAAGACCAGACAGCAGAAAGACAUCAGUCCUGAAUCAGAACAGCAGACAAAAAAGAGAAAGGAUAAACAUAAAAAAGAUAGAAGGCGAGGACCUGUCAGAAAGACUGGCUCUUCCUGGAGAGAACCCCCCCUGGAACGAGCAGGAAGACAUCUCAGUCCCGACUGAGACUCGGGAGGGGCAGAGCGAUGGGAUGUGGGAGGGCGCUUGCCUUGGACACAGCUGACCUGGGACACUCCCUGGCACCCGAUAAGCUCCUCCAAGCAAUGCCAGGCAUCAGCCCUGAGCAUCGCCAGGUGGGUAAACCAAAGAAAAAAGAAUCUCUGCGGGAACAGAAAAGAACUGGAACAGGCUUUAUGCCGCUGGUUUCAACAGAAAGAACAAGAGUGACUCCUGAGAGCAGAGCUAGGAGUAAGCCCUGAACACUGCCCAGUGUGACCCUCUCUUCCCCAGAGAAUGUGUGAAGAAGCUAUGAUUCCUCACGUUCUGAUUCGCACCUGGAGAGCGGGAGCUGGAGACAGAUUUUCUCCCUGAUGGGCUGGGCGUCUGGAUUCUCCCAGUCACCACUAAUUAAAUGAACAGGGAACUCCCUCCCCUCCCCUCCCCUCUCCUCUCCUCUCUUCUCUCCUCUCUCUUUCUUUUCUUGGGGCGGGCCACCUGGUUCUGCGCUCAGGGAUUGGAUCACUGGUGUGGAUCUCGUGCGGGGGGGGGGUGCCCGGCCAGGACCCAGGACCAUAGCCUUGCUAUGCUGUGGGAUCUCACCAGCCCCUAAUAGGGGGAGCCUGUUUGGAUGUUUUCCUGGACCUCAAUGCUGACUUGGAAGAAUGUGAGGCAAUGGGAGCGGAAGGGUGGAGCGCCCGGUCACCUGAGAUGCAUCUGAUUGGCCCUUUUCAUCUCACCCGCCCUCACCGUCAUCCAAUCACAGGUAGAUUAUGGGAGGUUGGAGGCGGGGAGAUAACCGCGGGUAGAAAUAGGCGCCAGCCCUGAACCUGCUCUUGGCUCCCUGAGCUCUGUCCAGCGUAGUCGCUGGACCCGCGGGGCCAUCAGCCCUUAGGCAGAGGCGCUAAGCCAGACAGAUUCCAGAUCAGGAAGUGCUGCAGAGAGCGUGAAGACGGCCUAGGAAUUAGACCAGGCAGCCGGGAAGAAGUAACCGGGACCAGGUGAGGAUGGAGGCUGUGGAGUGGGUGAAGGGAGAGGGGGAGGGUUGAGUGACGUCACACCGAGGCAUCUGGACCUGACAACUGAACUGUUUAAUGAACUUUCUUAUUUUUAUUGUCUUGGGGUCACAGCAGGCGAUGCUCAGAGCUGUCCCUGGCUCUAUAGUCCUGGAUCACUCGUGGCAGAGCCUUGAGGACCUACUGGGAUGCUGGGGAUCUAACCCGGAUCAUUUGUCAGCAUACAAGCACCUUAAUCGGUUUAGGGGCCUCUAAAAGUGAACAACGUUUAUUUUGCUAUUGGCCACAUCGUUAAUGCUCAGGGGUUACCCCUGGCUCUGCACUCAGCAAUUACUCUUGGUGAUCCUCAGGUGACCUUAUAGGAUGUGGGAAUCAGACCGGUGGCCAUCCCGCCUCGCUGUACUGUCGCUCAGGCGUCAUGAAUUUUUAAGCAUCUGUACUUUGUCUGCAGAUCAGUUCUGAAGAACACACACACUCUGGAGUGAAUGUGCCAUGGUACAACAUACUUGUUAUUUUCCUUGUAGCGAGUCUGGAAGCUUCUCCAAGCAGCUUCUUCAUAUCUCCCCAGAUCCACUGUGCCCUGACUUCUGACCUGCACAGAA